ensembl:lncRNA
CCAGAUCAGAGGCAGUAGGGAUGACCAGGGAUGUUCUCUGUUUAGUGAGUCCUCCAGAUCAGAGGCAGUAGGGAUGACCAGGGAUGUUCUCUGUUUAGUGAGUCCUCCAGAUCAGAGGCAGUAGGGAUGACCAGGGAUGUUCUCUCGCUAAAUAUAGACUUAGCUUUCAUUCGACAUACAAUUUGACAUGCUUCUAUGACCUUGACAUGUUGGUGCUCAUGGGUCCUUUUUACAUGGAAAUGCCCUAACCUAUUAGAGCCAUACUAAGCUAGCAGUUUCAUCAAGCUCUCCAAAAUAAUGAUAUCAAUGUUUCAAAGUUCAUCAAAAACAACCGUUGGCAACAUGAGGUAAGUAGUUAAAGAACAACGUUAUUACCAAUAAUGCUAACAAUGCUAACAAAGGCAUAAGACUUAAUGGAGAGCGCUAAAGUACCGUAUGCAGAAGAGAAACACUUUUCAGGCCACUCCAAUAAAGAACAGACUUAAGUUAGGAGAAUAAACACAGCAGGUUAGGAGAAUAAACACAGCAGGUUAGGAGAACUUACGCAGCAGGUUAGGAGAAUAAACACAGCAGGUUAGGAGAAUAAACACAGCAGGUUAGGAGAAUAAACACAGCAGGUUAGGAGAAUAAACACAGCAGGUUAGGAGAACUUACGCAGCAGGUUAGGAGAAUAAACACAGCAGGUUAGGAGAAUGAGGUUUAAGUUUAUGAAAAAGGUUAGCUCUCCUGACCUGCUCCAACGAAAAUCACCUCGUUUUGAAGUGGCUCUCCCGUAUGCAGAAUCAAACAUGAUGUUCUUUACUGGAGAAACCAAACUUUUUGUUUACUGAGGUCACAUGACGGGUAAGGUCAAAAAACCGCCAGCAGCGGACUGACAAACACACCCAAAUGGUACAUGAAUAAUCACAUUACAGAAGAAAAACUAAGAAUAGAGUUUCUAGACUCUACACAAGCUAUACCUGUCCCAAACACUGAACACUCCACACAAGCUAUACCUGUCCCAAACACUGAACACUCUACACAAGCUAUACCUGUCCCAAACACUGAACACUCUACACAAGCUAUACCUGUCCCAAACACUGAACACUCUACACAGCUAUACCUGUCCCAAACACUGAACACUCUACACAGCUAUACCUGUCCCAAACACUGAACACUCUACACAGCUAUACCUGUCCCAAACACUGAACACUCUACACAGCUAUACCUGUCCCAAAC